UUGCUACCCAAUUCACAGCUUUUGAUAACUCACAUGCCUAGUUACUAUUGCUCUAGUUUACAGAAGCAUAGACUGAAUAGAACAAAAGUAACUAAACAUUAAACUUAUGCAUUAUCACUUUAUAUUUACUGAGAUCGAGGGAUCGAAACAGUGUGUUUUGUGGACCAGAGCCACUUAUAGAUAGUAUAUAAGUGUUAAAGUAUGAAUCAUUCACCGAUUCAUUGGAGUGAACUUAAUUUGAAACCAAAACUGGAUAAAUGGAACGCCGUAAAUAAAAAGUUUAAAAAAUGAACUUUGAAACUUUGCGAUUGACACGCAUGCGUAUUGCACCCAUUUUAUUAUUGACUGGUCAAUAAAUGUUUCGUUGCGGACCGGUUGCCGAACAUGAGGUUUUGUGGACCGGCACGUGACACGGUUUUGACUAAUCGGCAAAUAGAAAAAUUGAACUUUGACACUAACUAACAAUAAGAGUUAUAAGACUAUAUAACAAUAAGAGUUAGUUAACUUUGUUCUAUUUUAUGCUUUUGUAAUCUAGAACCAUAGUAACUAUAGGCAUGUGUGUUAUAUAAAGUUGUGAAUUGGGUAUAAACAAACGUUACCCAAAUUUGUCUAAUCGAGCUAGACUUGGGUCAGUACACGCAUUUUCAUAAAAAUAGCAACCCUUCGGCUAAACAGGAUUCUGAUUAUCAUAUUGAGCGACAUCAAAAUCAUGGGAGUUUCUGCAAAGUGCAUUAAACCGAUAUUCCCUGUAGCACUAUUUCAUGACCUAAACAUCGCACAGAGACACUUAUGUAAGUUUUCUACUCACAUUGGUCGUUCAGACAUGCACCUCCCGCCGUGGGAGCGGCAGAUCAAGGUCAUAAUCAGGAGAUUAUGGUAUUGUGUCAAUGUAUUGACGAAGUUCUUAUUAUAUUACCAGUAUAUUAUUUAAUAACAUUAAAAUAUAUCAGGGUCGUAGACACCAGCAGAAUCGUUGUAACUGUACUACUGCAUGUAUGUGUAUAUUGAAAGUGUAUAAUUAGUGCAAGCGUAGUAAAGUUAAGUAUAAAUGUAAAGCAAUUCGAAUUCAAGAAUGUUCUGCACAAGAUCGCUUGUAUAUAUUGUAAUUAUAUUUUCACAAAAUUGUAUAUAUUCUUUUGAACAAGCUAAAAAAGUUUACUCAUGGGUAAUAAAUCAGCUUAUUUUAACUCUUCAAUUACUAGUGUCGCUGAUCGGCGAACACGCGAAUGUAAACAAACAGCUAAAAAUAGAUCCAAUUUGGAGAUUUAUAACUUUUCAGAAAAUUGCUUGCAGACGAGUUUUAUUCCUGAUUACUUAACUUCAGUAGGUAUACUUUCAAAUUACAUGCCAUUUGAACUUCAGAUAGGUGCCACUUUUGAGCUAUUUUAAGUAAAAUAUGAGCAAUUUUCAGCCUCUCGUCGCCAUCUUGAAAACAUAGUUUCGUAAAACUAUUAAAAAAAUCGUAUUAAGCAAAUAAAGUUGUUCAAUCUCCGUGUAAGCGAGAGUAUUAGUGUUAAUCUUGCAUGUGAACAGUAACUGGAGGGGAUAAAGGCAUUACAACGUUUUUAAAAAAUCAGAUGAAUUCUUGUAAAAUUCCCCUUCAUUUCCGGUCUGAAAAUAUUCUCGCAAGGUCAAAUUUUAACAUGGCUAUAACUCCUAUAAAACAGAAAGUUGAAACGUUCUGAAAGAAGCUCGAUUAAUAUUGACCAAAGUCUAGUUCAUAUGCAAAAUAUGAG